GACGAACGCUGGCGGCGUGCUUAACACAUGCAAGUCGAACGAUGAAGCCCAGCUUGCUGGGCGGAUUAGUGGCGAACGGGUGAGUAACACGUGAGUAACCUGCCCUUGACUCUGGGAUAAGCCCGGGAAACUGGGUCUAAUACCGGAUAGGAGCGCCUGUCGCAUGACGGGUGCUGGAAAGAUCUUUCGGUCAUGGAUGGACUCGCGGCCUAUCAGCUUGUUGGUGAGGUAACGGCUCACCAAGGCGACGACGGGUAGCCGGCCUGAGAGGGUGACCGGCCACACUGGGACUGAGACACGGCCCAGACCCCUACGGGAGGCAGCAGUGGGGAAUAUUGCACAAUGGGCGAAAGCCUGAUGCAGCGACGCCGCGUGAGGGAUGACGGCCUUCGGGUUGUAAACCUCUUUCAGCAGGGAAGAAGCGAAAGUGACGGUACCUGCAGAAGAAGCACCGGCUAACUACGUG
rnacentral:rRNA from 1 species